rnacentral:rRNA from 1 species
AGUGAACGCUGGCGGUAGGCCUAACACAUGCAAGUCGAACGGCAGCACAGUAAGAGCUUGCUCUUACGGGUGGCGAGUGGCGGACGGGUGAGGAAUACAUCGGAAUCUACUUUUUCGUGGGGGAUAACGUAGGGAAACUUACGCUAAUACCGCAUACGACCUACGGGUGAAAGCAGGGGAUCUUCGGACCUUGCGCGAUUGAAUGAGCCGAUGUCGGAUUAGCUAGUUGGCGGGGUAAAGGCCCACCAAGGCGACGAUCCGUAGCUGGUCUGAGAGGAUGAUCAGCCACACUGGAACUGAGACACGGUCCAGACUCCUACGGGAGGCAGCAGUGGGGAAUAUUGGACAAUGGGCGCAAGCCUGAUCCAGCCAUACCGCGUGGGCGAGGAAGGCCUUCGGGUUGUAAAGCCCUUUUGUUGGGAAAGAAAAGCAGCAGGUUAAUACCCCGCUGUUCUGACGGUACCCAAAGAAUAAGCACCGGCUAACUUCGUG